rnacentral:rRNA from 1 species
CAGAACGUCGUGAGACAGUUCGGUCCCUAUCCAUCGUGGGCGUAGGAAUCAUGAGAGGAGCUGUUCCUAGUACGAGAGGACCGGAAUGGACGUACCACUGGUGCAACUGUUGUCGUGCCAACGGCAUAGCAGGGAAGCGAAGUACGGACGGGAUAAACGCUGAAGGCAUCUAAGCGUGAAGCCCCCCUCAAGAAGAAGAUUCCCAUUCCGAGAGGAAGUAAGACCCCUCAGAGACGAUGAGGAGAUAGGUCAACGCUGGAAGCGCAGCAAUGAGUGAAGGUUGUUGAUACUAAUCGGUCGAGGGCUUGAUCCA